GCCCACAUACUAUCACCCUAUAAAACUUUAACAAUACAAACAAAUAAAUUAAUACAAAUAAUAACACAGUACCGAAAUGGAAAAAAUAAUAAAUAAAAGUAAUUAUUAAUAAAUAUACCUUGUGCAUUAUGGUUUUACAAGAAAACAAUUAAACAACCUAAAUCCCGAAUUCUAAAUGAGAUGUUAAACUGCUGUUACGAACUCACUAAUAGCUGUAGAAAAAGCUUUAGUAGACAGUUUAACAGAGGCUACAUACCAUGCGCAUAAGAAUAUAGCUGGUUUUCAGCAAAUAUUAUACAUUAAAACAUAUAACCAAUAUUAUAGUGUAAUAUUAUUGAGGAUAAGCUCAAUAAUCUAAGCAAUCCUACAAAACAACCCUUCCUAAUUACUAGGCCUAAAAUCAGCCAACCAAAAUACUUUACCGUAAUAGAUACUGAUAAAAUCCUUUUAUUUACAUGCCAAAGAAAGUUGAAAUUAUAGAUAAACUCCCAAUCUACCAAUAUUAUGUAAAAAUAAGUAUUACAAAAAUAUAAUAAAAACAACCAAACAAAAACACCAUAUAUAUAUAUAUUAAUAAUUAAUUAAGGAACUCGGCAAACUACUAUUUCGACUGUUUAACAAAAACAUUGUUUCAUGAAAAUAAAAUAUGAGAUAAUACCUGCCCAGUGACAUAGUUUAACGGCCGCGGUAUCCUAACCGUGCAAAGGUAGCAUAAUCACUUGCCUAUUAAUUGUAGGCUAGAAUGAAAGGGUUAACGAAAUAAAAACUGUCUCAAUUAAUUACCUAAAAAUUAAUAUCUACCCGAAGAAGUGUAGAUACCCUCGAAGGACAAGAAGACCCUAUAGAGCUUAAUUUAAAUUAUAGAUCUACCCUAUAAAAAUAUUCGGUUGGGGCGACCCAGGGCCAAAUAAUCACCCAAAAUAUAAAAGAUAUAUUAAUCAAUAUAAUUGACCCUUCAAAGAUCAAAAGACCAAGCUACCUUAGGGAUAACAGGCUAAUCCCACUAGAGAGUUCAUAUCAACAGUGGGGAUUGGCACCUCGAUGUUGGCUUAGGGUAUCCAUAUAGCGCAAAAGCUAUAUAAAGAUGGUUUGUUCAACCAGUAAUUCCCUACAUGAGCUGAGUUCAGACCGGCGUGAGCCAGGUUAGCUUCUAUCCUCGAUUAUAACACCUUCCGCCCCUAGUACGAAAGGACCUGGGUGGAAUAGUAAACUAUUAUAAAGAAUUCCUAUAACUAAAUAUAAAUAACUUAAAAAGAUAAACUAUC
rnacentral:rRNA from 1 species